rnacentral:lncRNA from 1 species
GCGGUGCCGGAGGAUCUCCCCCUGCCUCGUCGCCAGCGCGUGGAUCGCGCGGAGGCCGGCGAGACGCGCGGCGUCCUCGGCGUCGGCGUCGAGGAGCUUCACGAGGUUAUCCACGACGUCCGUCUCGGCGAGUACGUCCGCAUCGUUCCUGAAGAGACGGGGGGGGGCAUCGCGUCCGGGUCGCGGGGUCAGGAUGGCGUUUGGACGGGUCGACGCGGGUAGCACGAGGCUCGUCCCGAAUCGGGAUCGUCGCCUUUUACUCGGGAUGCGCGCGAUUGCUUCCAGCGGCGCGGACGUACCCGGGAUCCGUCGCGAGUUCCCUCAGCUUCGAGGCGGCGUCCGCGCGUCCCGCGUUGUCGGUCGAGUCGCGAAGCUCCUCGGCGACCGGCGCGACGAGGUUGGGACGAUCCCCAUCCUCCGCGCCCUCCCGCGCCAUGGCGCC